CUGGGGGUGUUUGUGGGGGUGGUGUGGGUGUUUGAAGUGAUGUGUGUGUGGGUGUGGGUGUAGUUUGGUUCUGAGUAUGGGGUAAGGUGGUGGUUGUGUGUGUGGGUGGGUGUGGGUGUGUUUUGGUUCUGAGUAUGGGGUAAGGUGGUGUGUGUCCGAAUAUAUCACUACGCCACACACACACAGACACACACCACAGCACGCACCUCACAUAUAUACAAGGCCACACAGUUAGUUCUACAGCCAGCACAGGCCAGCCAACAGCCAGCCAGUCAGCCAUAACCACAAUCUGGCCAAACAGACACAGAUGCUUAGAAACAGAGAAUCAAAGAAGGGGAAAAGAAUGAAAGGAAGAAUAAUUAUAAUGUUUGUAGAGUGGGAAUCAAGAAAAUGAAGUGAAAUAGGAAAGGAAGGAAGGAUUUGUAGAGUUUGUAUAGAUGAAGAAACCUACAACUGAAAGAAAGAUGAAUUUGUAUAGAUGAAGGAAGCUUAUUAUGAUGCUUGUAGAUAGAUAGAGACACAGAAGAACAGAAUGAAGUGAAAUAGAAAAGAAAGGAAGGAAGAAGGGUUUUGUAUAGAUGAAGAAACCUAUGACUGAAAGGAAGGAGAAUUUGUAUAGAUGAAGGAACCUUAUAUUAUGCUUGUUGAUAUAUAGAGACACACAGAAGAACAGAAUGAAGUGAAAUAGAAAAGAAAGGAAGGAAGAAGGGUUUUGUAUAGAUGAAGAAACCUAAGAAUGAAAGAGAAUUUGUAUAGAUGAAGGAACCUUAUAUUAUGCUUGUUGAUAUAUAGAGACACACAGAGAGAAAGAGAGAAUCAAGUGAAUUAGGAAAGAAUUGAAAGGUUGUUACAGGUGAAGGAACUGAAGAAUGAAUGAAAGAAGGAUUUUGAUAGAUGAAUGAACCUUAUUGUUAUGCUUAUAGAUAGACAGACAAACACAGAGGAAAAGAGAAUCAAGUGAAAUAGAAAAGGAAGGUGUUUGUAUAGAUGUAGAAACCUAAUCAUUGUAUUUAUAGAUAGAUAGAUAGAUAGA